rnacentral:lncRNA from 10 species
GAGGAUAGCAGCUACAGGCCAGGGCGAGAGGCCUCAGAGGAAACCAGUCCUGCUGACUCUUUGAACUCGGACUUCCAGCCUCCAGAACUCAUUUAGAGGCCACCAACAUUGAAUAACCACACUGGGGUAGACACAGCGGCGAAGAGAUUCCUGCUGUUCCCAUCACAGCAGCCUUGGAGAUGAGAAGACAGAUGGAUCUGACCAGAAGUCUGGAGAACUUCGAGAAAAAAGGAGGAGGACACAAAAGGAAAUAACAAAAAAGAUGCAUCCGGAGCAACUAUGAGGAUGGUAAAUUGGUGUCUAAUUCUGAAAAUCAUAAUUGGUAUAAAUGCUAUGUACUGUGGAAGGAGGGAUGAAGGGUAGAGGGAAUAAAAAAGAACAUGAAGUUAGAAUCCUUGGCAUGAAAGCCUGCCAUUU